rnacentral:rRNA from 1 species
AGCGAACGCUGGCGGCAGGCUUAACACAUGCAAGUCGAACGGGCUUCUUCGGACGUCAGUGGCAGACGGGUGCGUAACACGUGGGAACGUGCCCUUCGGUUCGGACUAACUCAGGGAAACUUGAGCUAAUACCGGAUACGCCCUUUUGGGGAAAGGUUUACUGCCGAAGGAACGGGCCGCGUCGGAUUAGCUUGUUGGUGGGGUAACGGCCUACCAAGGCGACGAUCAGUAGCUGGUCUGAGAGGAUGAUCAGCCACACUGGGACUGAGACACGGCCCAGACUCCUACGGGAGGCAGCAGUGCGGAAUAUUGGACAAUGGGCGCAAGGCGGAUCCAGCCAUGCCGCGUGAGUGAUGAAGGCCUUAGGGUUGUAAAGCUCUUUUGUACGGGACGAUAAUGACGGUACCGGAAGAAUAAGCCCCGGCUAACUUCGUG